rnacentral:rRNA from 1 species
AGUGAACGCUGGCGGUAGGCCUAACACAUGCAAGUCGAACGGCAGCACAGUAAGAGCUUGCUCUUACGGGUGGCGAGUGGCGGACGGGUGAGGAAUACAUCGGAAUCUACUUUUUCGUGGGGGAUAACGUAGGGAAACUUACGCUAAUACCGCAUACGACCUACGGGUGAAAGCAGGGGAUCUUCGGACCUUGCGCGAUUGAAUGAGCCGAUGUCGGAUUAGCUAGUUGGCGGGGUAAAGGCCCACCAAGGCGACGAUCCGUAGCCGGUCUGAGAGGAUGAUCAGCCACACUGGAACUGAGACACGGUCCAGACUCCUACGGGAGGCAGCAGUGGGGAAUAUUGGACAAUGGGCGCAAGCCUGAUCCAGCCAUACCGCGUGGGUGGAGAAGGCCUUCGGGUUGUAAAGCCCUUUUGUUGGGAAAGAAAAGCAGCAGGUUAAUACCCCGCUGUUCUGACGGUACCCAGAGAAUAAGCACCGGCUAACUUCGU